GUGAUUGUUGGGCGGGCGUGGUGGGGAAUACUGAGGGUGCGAGGGUGGAUCGGAGUGAUUGAGGGGAAGGGGUGUGUAGGCGGUGUGUUGAGGGAGGGGGGAAAUCCGUCUGGUGAAGCGGGGAACGACGAGGGAUGCUGAUAAGCGAGAGUACCAAAGGGGGGGGUGGAAUUCCGGGUGUAGCGGUGAAAUGCGUAGAGAUCGGGAGGAACACCUGUGGCGAAGGCGGCCCCCUGGUUGGAUACUGACGCUGAGACGCGAAAGCGUGGGGAGCAAACAGGAUUAGAUACCCGGGUAGUC
rnacentral:rRNA from 1 species